rfam:Trichococcus sp. R210 isolate Trichococcus_R210 genome assembly, contig: TR210DRAFT_scaffold-24
AACCGCCGUGUACGGAACCGUACGCACGGUGGUGUGAGAGGACGGUAGAUGAACUAAUCAUCUACCUCCUACUCGAU